GGUCCCAAGGGGCUAAGUGAGGCCUUUUUGUAGCUGCCUGAUUGGUGUUCAGUUUUGUAAGACUGACCUCCCCGGCAUCUCACCCCUGGCAACCGACCCAACCACUCUCUGGGACUCUCCCUCUCCCGUUCAACACCACACGUGCAGGGGUUAGUGGGGAGCCUCUACCCGGUGGACAAGUCACUUUUCGAACCGGACCAUUUACUUUAUGAGUGGAGGCUCUUCACAUGGACUCGAUAGACUUCCUAGUACUUCCCACAACAAAGGAUCCAGUGAUUUUGGGACACCCGUGGCUACAGGCUCACAACCCCCAAAUCAACUGGUCAUCAGCUGCCCCCUCAACGGAAGUGCGAUUGCUCCAUAGACCUCCUGGAGUGGGCGCCACUCCCUAAGGGCCGACUCUACUCUCUGUUCGUCAAUGAAGAGGAGGCUAUGGAGACGUACAUUCAGGAGGGACUCGCACAAGAAAUGACGAGCGGCGCAUCGGAGGAGUCGUGGGCGGGGUCUGGACGGGGAGGUGGAGCAAGGGUCACAUGGCAGACGAGCUACUGAUGACAAGGCCUGUGGGCGGAGCUGAGGACGCAGCUGGCGAAUGGCGACAAGGGCGGGAGGUCCGGAGAACCUCAUGUCUGCCGAGUACUCCAAAGGCUACGUGAAAAAAAUCUUUUUGCAAAGGGGGAGAAGUAUGAAUUUCACCAAACCCAAGUCCACUUCCUGGGUUACGUCAUCCGACCCGGUGUAGUGGGGAUGGACGAGAAGAAGGUGGCAGCUAUUCAACUGUGGCUUCGUCCCUGCACCACUAAGGAACUGCAAUGCUUCUUGAGGUUUGCUAAUUUCUACCGCCGCUUCAUCAGGAAUUUUAGUGAGGUAGCUGCACCCCAGACUUCCCUUACACGGGGAUCAGGAUCCCAGUUAAGUUGGACCCCAGAGGUAGAGACAGCGUUUCUACGUCUAAAACAAGCCAAAUACUCAAUGGUGGCAAUGAGAG